UACGGGGGGGGCAAGCGUUGUUCGGAAUUACUGGGCGUAAAGGGUUCGUAGGUGGCCCGCUAAGUCAGACGUGAAAUCCCUCAGCUCAACUGGGGAACUGCGUCUGAGACUGGCGGGCUUGAGUGCAGGAGAGGAACGCGGAAUUCCAGGUGUAGCGGUGAAAUGCGUAGAUAUCUGGAGGAACACCGGUGGCGAAGGCGGCAUUCUGGACUGUAACUGACACUGAGGAACGAAAGCCAGGGGAGCAAACGGG
rnacentral:rRNA from 1 species